GUGAAUCAUCAAAUCUUUGAACGCAAAUUGCACUCUCUGGUAUUCCGGAGAGUAUGCCUGUUUGAGGGUCAGUUUAAAUAAAAAUCGGUGUGGUUGCUUCCUUUCGUGGUGACGCACCGGAUUUGGGUCGUCUUUCCUUCGGUUAAGUGACCUUAAAUUUUGCAUGAUUUUUUUGAAUGCAGUUCAAUUAAUUUACGUUCGUUUACGAUUUUGAUUA
rnacentral:misc_RNA from 1 species